CCAAUAGCGUAUAUUAAAGUUGUUGUGGUUAAAAAGCUCGUAGUUGAACCUUGGGCCUGGCUGGCCGGUCCGCCUCACCGCGUGUACUGGUCCGGCCGGGCCUUUCCCUCUGUGGAACCUCAUGCCCUUCACUGGGUGUGACGGGGAAGCAGGACUUUUACUGUGAAAAAAUUAGAGUGCUCCAAGCAGGCCUAUGCUCGAAUACAUUAGCAUGGAAUAAUGAAAUAGGACGUGCGGUUCUAUUUUGUUGGUUUCUAGGACCGCCGUAAUGAUUAAUAGGGACAGUCGGGGGCAUCAGUAUUCAAUUGUCAGAGGUGAAAUUCUUGGAUUUAUUGAAGACUAACUACUGCGAAAGCAUUUGCCAAGGAUGUUUUCAUUAAUCAGGAACGAAAGUUAGGGGAUCGAAGACGAUCAGAUACCGUCGUAGUCUUAACCAUAAACUAUGCCGACUAGGGAUCGGACGAUGUUAUUUUUUGACUCGUUCGGCACCUUCCG
rnacentral:misc_RNA from 1 species